rnacentral:rRNA from 1 species
CAAAAAUAACGAUACGGGACUCAUCCGAGGCCCCGUAAUCGGAAUGAGUACACUCUAAACCCUUUAACGAGGAUCAAUUGGAGGGCAAGUCUGGUGCCAGCAGCCGCGGUAACACCAGCUCCAAUAGCGUAUAUUAAAGUUGUUGCGGUUAAAAAGCUCGUAGUCGAAUUUGUGUCCCGCGCCGCCGGUUCAUCGCUCGCGGUGUUAACUGGCGUGUCCGCGGGACGUCCUGCCGGUGGGCUUAGCUUCAGGGCGGCCCAAUCUCAAUCCCACCGCGGUGCUCUUUACUGAGUGUCGAGGUGGGCCGGCACGUUUACUUUGAACAAAUUAGAGUGCUUAAAGCAGGCUAAAAUAUCGCCUGAAUACUGUGUGCAUGGAAUAAUGGAAUAGGACCUCGGUUCUAUUUUGUUGGUUUUCGGAACCCCGAGGUAAUGAUUAAUAGGAACGGAUGGGGGCAUUCGUAUUGCGACGUUAGAGGUGAAAUUCUUGGAUCGUCGCAAGACGGACAGAAGCGAAAGCAUUUGCCAAAAACGUUUUCAUUGAUCAAGAACGAAAGUUAGAGGUUCGAAGGCGAUCAGAUACCGCCCUAGUUCUAACCAUAAACGAUGCCAGCUAGCGAUCCGCCGACGUUCCUCCGAUGACUCGGCGGGCAGCUUCCGGGAAACCAAAGCUUUUGGGAUCCGGGGGAAGUAUGGUUGCAAAGCUGAAACUUAAAGGAAUUGACGGAAGGGCACCACCAGGAGUGGAGCCUGCGGCUUAAUUUGACUCAACACGGGAAACCUCACCAGGCCCGGACACCGGAAGGAUUGACAGAUUGAGAG